rnacentral:tRNA from 1 species
GCCUUCGUGGUGUAACAGUUAGCGCACUCGGCACGUAUUCGAGAGAUCCAGGGUUCGAAUCUCGGCGAUGGCG